UAGGGAAUCUUCCGCAAUGGACGCAAGUCUGACGGAGCAACGCCGCGUGAGUGAAGAAGGAUUUCGGUUCGUAAAACUCUGUUGUUAGAGAAGAACAGCGCAUAGAGUAACUGUUAUGCGUGUGACGGUAUCUAACCAGAAAGCCACGGCUAACUACGUGCCAGCAGCCGCGGUAAUACGUAGGUGGCAAGCGUUGUCCGGAUUUAUUGGGCGUAAAGCGAGCGCAGGCGGUCAAUUAAGUCUGAUGUGAAAGACCCCGGCUCAACCGGGGAGGGUCAUUGGAAACUGGUUGACUUGAGUGCAGAAGAGGAGAGUGGAAUUCCAUGUGUAGCGGUGAAAUGCGUAGAUAUAUGGAGGAACACCAGUGGCGAAGGCGACUCUCUGGUCUGUAACUGACGCUGAGGUUCGAAAGCGUGGGUAGCAAACAGG
rnacentral:rRNA from 1 species